CGAGAAAGCCCGCAAGGGUGAGUAAAGCGGCGCACGGGUGCGUAACACGUGGGUAAUCUGCCCUAGAGUCCGGAAUAACUCGUCGAAAGGCGUGCUAAUGCCGGAUGAGACCACGGGAGCCUCGGCUCCUGCGGGAAAAGGUGGCCUCUGUACACAAGCUAUCGCUCUAGGAUGAGCCCGCGGCCCAUCAGCUAGUUGGCGGGGUAAUGGCCCACCAAGGCUACGACGGGUAGCUGGUCUGAGAGGACGAUCAGCCACACUGGAACUGAGACACGGUCCAGACUCCUACGGGAGGCAGCAGUGGGGAAUCUUGCGCAAUGGGCGAAAGCCUGACGCAGCAACGCCGCGUGUGUGAUGAAGGUCUUCGGAUCGUAAAGCACUGUCGCGAGGGACG
rnacentral:rRNA from 1 species